UACGAAGGGGGCUAGCGUUGUUCGGAAUCACUGGGCGUAAAGCGCACGCAGGCGGAUCGAUCAGUCGGGGGUGAAAGCCCGGGGCUCAACCUCGGAAUUGCCUUCGAUACUGUCGAUCUCGAGUCCGGGAGAGAUGAGUGGAAUUCCUAGUGUAGAGGUGAAAUUCGUAGAUAUUAGGAAGAACACCAGUGGCGAAGACAGCUCACUGGCCCAGUACUGACGCUCAAGUGCGAAAGCGUGGAGAGCAAACAGG
rnacentral:rRNA from 1 species